rnacentral:rRNA from 1 species
AGCGAACGCUGGCGGCAGGCCUAACACAUGCAAGUCGAACGAACCUUUCGGGGUUAGUGGCGGACGGGUGAGUAACACGUGGGAACGUGCCUUUAGGUUCGGAAUAACUCAGGGAAACUUGUGCUAAUACCGAAUGUGCCCUUCGGGGGAAAGAUUAAUCGCCUUUAGAGCGGCCCGCGUCUGAUUAGCUAGUUGGUUGAGGUAAUGGCUCACCAAGGCGACGAUCAGUAGCUGGUCUGAGAGGAUGAUCAGCCACAUUGGAACUGAGACACGGCCCAAACUCCUACGGGAGGCAGCAGUGGGGAAUCUUGCGCAAUGGGCGAAAGCCUGACGCAGCCAUGCCGCGUGAAUGAUGAAGGUCUUAGGAUUGUAAAAUUCUUUCACCGGGGACGAUAAUGACGGUACCCGGAGAAGAAGCCCCGGCUAACUUCGUG